GAAAUGCGAUAAGUAAUGUGAAUUGCAGAAUUCAGUGAAUCAUCGAAUCUUUGAACGCAUCUUGCGCUCCUUGGUAUUCCGAGGAGCAUGCCUGUUUGAGUGUCAUUAAAUUCUCAACCUCUACCAGCUUUGCUGCUUGGUAUUGGCUUGGACAUGGGGGUUAYUUGUGCAGGCUCUUYGCAGAGUCAGCUCCCCUGAAAUGCAUUAGUGGUGACCUUUAUGGACAUUGGUGUGAUAACUAUCUACGCCGCUGAACAUAUUGUUGUUUGCUGCUUCUAACAGUCCAUUGACUUGGACAACAAUGACAAUUUUGACCUCAAAUCAGGUAGGAUUACCCGCUGAACUUAA
rnacentral:rRNA from 1 species